rnacentral:misc_RNA from 1 species
AAUCCAAUCAAGCCUGGCUUGGUAUUGGGCGGCCGGACUCCCCUGCGCCCCAAUUUCACCGGCUGGCCGUCGCCCGUCUUAGCGUUGUGACACACUUCUCGCUAGCAAUGGGAGCGGACCACGCCGUUAGAACCCAUGAAUUUCAAUCGAAAUUCGAUUA